UACGUAGGGUGCAAGCGUUGUCCGGAAUUAUUGGGCGUAAAGAGCUCGUAGGCGGUUUGUCGCGUCUGCUGUGAAAACUCAGGGCUUAACCCUGAGCUUGCAGUGGGUACGGGCAGACUAGAGUGCGGUAGGGGAGACUGGAAUUCCUGGUGUAGCGGUGAAAUGCGCAGAUAUCAGGAGGAACACCGGUGGGCGAAGGCGGGGUCUCUGGGCCGUAAACUG
rnacentral:rRNA from 1 species